GGGAUAUGAUGAGUGGUCAUUACUCGCAAGCGUUGCGAGAUGGGUGUCCGCCCCAAAGCCUGGUUACGACACUUUGGCACUCCCAUUUUUACCAUCUGAUCCC
rnacentral:snoRNA from 1 species